rnacentral:rRNA from 1 species
UACGUAGGGCGCGAGCGUUGUCCGGAAUUAUUGGGCGUAAAGCGCUCGUAGGCGGUUUGUCGCGUCGGUUGUGAAAACCCAAGGCUCAACCUUGGGCCUGCAAUCGAUACGGGCAGACUAGAGUACUGCAGGGGAGACUGGAAUUCCUGGUGUAGCGGUGGAAUGCGCAGAUAUCAGGAGGAACACCGGUGGCGAAGGCGGGUCUCUGGGCAGUAACUGACGCUGAGGAGCGAAAGCGUGGGGAGCGAACAGG